rnacentral:rRNA from 1 species
GGACGAACGCUGGCGGCGUGCUUAACACAUGCAAGUCGAACGGAAAGGCCCUGCUUUUGUGGGGUGCUCGAGUGGCGAACGGGUGAGUAACACGUGAGUAACCUGCCCUUGACUUUGGGAUAACUUCAGGAAACUGGGGCUAAUACCGGAUAGGAGCUCCUGCUGCAUGGUGGGGGUUGGAAAGUUUCGGCGGUUGGGGAUGGACUCGCGGCUUAUCAGCUUGUUGGUGGGGUAGUGGCUUACCAAGGCUUUGACGGGUAGCCGGCCUGAGAGGGUGACCGGCCACAUUGGGACUGAGAUACGGCCCAGACUCCUACGGGAGGCAGCAGUGGGGAAUAUUGCACAAUGGGCGGAAGCCUGAUGCAGCAACGCCGCGUGCGGGAGGACGGCCUUCGGGUGGUAAACCGCUUUCGCCUGUGACGAAGCGUGAGUGACGGUAAUGGGUAAAGAAGCACCGGCUAACUACGU